rnacentral:rRNA from 1 species
ACUCCUACGGGAGGCAGCAGUAGGGAAUCUUCCACAAUGGGCGCAAGCCUGAUGGAGCAACACCGCGUGAGUGAAGAAGGGUUUCGGCUCGUAAAGCUCUGUUGUUAAAGAAGAACACGUAUGAGAGUAACUGUUCAUACGUUGACGGUAUUUAACCAGAAAGUCACGGCUAACUACGUGCCAGCAGCCGCGGUAAUACGUAGGUGGCAAGCGUUAUCCGGAUUUAUUGGGCGUAAAGAGAGUGCAGGCGGUUUUCUAAGUCUGAUGUGAAAGCCUUCGGCUUAACCGGAGAAGUGCAUCGGAAACUGGAUAACUUGAGUGCAGAAGAGGGUAGUGGAACUCCAUGUGUAGCGGUGGAAUGCGUAGAUAUAUGGAAGAACACCAGUGGCGAAGGCGGCUACCUGGUCUGCAACGUGACGCUGAGACUCGAAAGCAUGGGUAGCGAACAGGAUUAGAUA